UACGUAGGGUCCGAGCGUUGUCCGGAAUUAUUGGGCGUAAAGGGCUCGUAGGCGGUUCGUCACGUCGGGAGUGAAAACUCGGAGCUUAACUCCGAGCCUGCUUCCGAUACGGGCAGACUAGAGGUAGGCAGGGGAGAGUGGAAUUCCUGGUGUAGCGGUGAAAUGCGCAGAUAUCAGGAAGAACACCCGUGGCUAAGGCGGCUCUCUAGUACGGUACUGACGCUGAGACGCGAAAGCGUGGGGAGCGAACAGG
rnacentral:rRNA from 1 species